rnacentral:rRNA from 1 species
UACGGGGGGGGCAAGCGUUGUUCGGAAUUACUGGGCGUAAAGGGCUCGUAGGCGGCCAACUAAGUCGGAUGUGAAAUCCUCAGGCUCAACCUGGGAACUGCAUCCGAUACUGGAUGGCUUGAAUUCGGGAGAGGGAUGCAGAAUUCCAGGUGUAGCGGUGAAAUGCGUAGAUAUCUGGAGGAAUACCGGUGGCGAAGGCGGCAUCCUGGACCGACAUUGACGCUGAUGAGCGAAAGCUAGGGGAGCAAACGGG